UAAGGUAGCUAUACCGAGAGUGCUCCACCUGAUCCCAUUCCGAACUCAGUAGUGAAAUCUCUCAUGGCCCAUGAUACCCAGCCCCGCGAGAAGGGGGCUGGGGAAAGUAGGUAGCUGCCUCAC
rnacentral:rRNA from 1 species